rnacentral:rRNA from 1 species
CCUACGGGAGGCAGCAAUUAGGAAUCUUGCACAAUGGGGGAAACCCUGAUGCAGCGACGCCGCGUGAAGGAUGAAGGUUCUCGGAUCGUAAACUUCUUUUAAUGGGGAAGAAAUUUGACGGUACCCAUUGAAUAAGCCCCGGCUAACUACGUGCCAGCAGCCGCGGUAAUACGUAGGGGGCGAGCGUUGUCCGAAGUUACUGGGCGUAAAGCGCGCGUAGGCGGUUUUUUAAGUCUGGGGUGAAAGGUUCAGCGCUCAACGUGAACAGUGCCUUGGAUACUGGAAGACUUGAAUCUGGAAGAGGGUAGUGGAAUUCCUGGUGUAGCGGUGAAAUGCGUAGAUAUCAGGAGGAACACCAAUGGCGAAGGCAGCUACCUGGUCUAAGAUUGACGCUGAGGUGCGAAAGCGUGGGGAGCAAACGGGAUUAGAUACCCCGGUAGUCCACGCCCUAAACGAUGAGUGCUAGGUGUACGCGGUAUCGACCCCGCGUGUGCCGUCGCUAACGCAUUAAGCACUCCGCCGUCGGGUACGGUACGGCCGGCCGACGGUUAGUAACGUACGAAGAAGUAGUAGACGCGNGAGACGCGACGACGACGACGACGGAGGAGAG